rnacentral:misc_RNA from 1 species
GGGUUCAAAACAUGGCAUUAUCCAACAGCACAGUCGCCUCCUCUGCUCCGCUGGCAAUCCCUUCCCUCCCAAAUUCAAAGGUAAAGCUGAAUUAUCAAUUACUCUGUUUUUCAAUCUUCCUUUAUCCACUCAAUUGCUUCUUUUUUUCUUUUAAAGAAUAUUGAAAGAAUUGAUUCACUACUCGGAACUUCAAGAGCUCCCAAAUUCAUCGCUCGCUCUAUUUCAAGAAAUGGCUCUUCCUUUCUUCAAUCUGAUUUGCCAUUUCCCCGUGAUUAUGAUGAGCUUCUUCAACAAGUAAAGCUUUUACAUUCCAUAUGUUUUCUUCUUUGCACUCGUUCUUAUUAAUUUUUUCAAGUACAUAAUAUGUCAUUUCGUCUGCAAUUGUUGUUGAAAAAUUCAAAUGUUAGGCUUUUCAUGAGGCUGUGCUUUAAUAUUUACUGCUUACAAACCCUAAUUUGGUCUCAUAUUCAAUGGGUACAGGAUUGCUGUUGAAACUACGUUUAGAAAAUUAUUUUAAAAUUGUAAGUGGGUAUUAUAAAUUAUUAAAUAUGUUAGUUAUAGGGUAUUUAAAAUUAUUUUUAAAAUAAAUUUGAUAUGUUUUUGUCAUUAUUAUUAAAUAUGUUAGUUAUAGUGUAUUCAAAAUUGUUUUCAAAACACCCAGUGAUUGGUUAUCUCCAGCGGACUUUACUGCAAGGUCGAGGGUUUGAAUCCUGGAGCGCUCGCUUUACCUGAAUAACACUCUCGGCCGAGCAUGGGAAUACUUUUGUACUUAAAUCAAAAAAAUUGUUUUCAAAAUAAUUUUGAUAUGUUUUAGUCAUAAUAACUAAACAGAUAUUUCAAG